CCUACGGGAGGCAGCAGUGAGGAAUAUUUGUCAAUGGGCGCGAGCCUGAACCAGCCACGUAGCGUGAAGGAUGACUGCCCUACGGGUUGUAAACUUCUUUUAUAAAGGAAUAAAGUGCGGCGCGUGUGCCUUUUUGUAUGUACUUUAUGAAUAAGGAUCGGCUAACUCCGUGCCAGCAGCCGCGGUAAUACGGAGGAUCCAAGCGUUAUCCGGAUUUAUUGGGUUUACAGGGAGCGUAGAUGGGUUGUUAAGUCAGUUGUGAAAGUUUGCGGCUCAACCGGAAAAUUGCAAUUGAUACUGGCAGUCUUGAGGACAGUGGAGGUAGGCGGAAUUCGUGGGGUAGCGGUGAAAUGCUUAGAUAUCACGAAGAACUCCGAUUGCGAAGGCAGAUUACUAAACUGCCACUGACAUUGAGGCUCGAAAGUGUGGGUAUCAAACAGGAGUAGAUACCCGUGUAGUC
rnacentral:rRNA from 1 species